rnacentral:rRNA from 1 species
CCUCUGACGAGUGGCGCACGGGUGCAUAACACGUAUGCAACCUACCUUUGACUGGGAGAUAGCCCCGAGAAAUCGGGAUUAAUACCCCAUAAAAUUAUGAUGAGGCAUCUCAUUAUAAUUAAAGCUCCGGCGGUCUUAGAUGGGCAUGCGCGACAUUAGCUAGUUGGUGAGGUAACGGCUCACCAAGGCUACGAUGUCUAGGGGUUCUGAGAGGAUUCACCCCCACACUGGUACUGAGACACGGACCAGACUCCUACGGGAGGCAGCAGUAAGGAAUAUUGGUCAAUGGACGCAAGUCUGAACCAGCCAUGCCGCGUGCAGGAUGACAGCCCUAUGGGUUGUAAACUGCUUUUGUACGGGAAAAAACCUCCGGUCGUGAACCGGAGCCGAUGGUACCGUAAGAAUAAGCAUCGGCUAACUCCGUGCCAGCAGCCGCGGUAAUACGGAGGAUGCAAGCGUUAUCCGGAUUCAUUGGGUUUAAAGGGUGCGCAGGCGGAAUGAUAAGUCAGUGGUGAAAUCCUACAGCUUAACUGUAGAACUGCCAUUGAUACUGUCGUUCUUGAGCACAGUUGGAGUGGGCGGAAUGUGUCAUGUAGUGGUGAAAUGCUUAGAUAUGACACAGAACACCAGUCGCGAAGGCAGCUCGCUAAACUGUAACUGACGCUCAUGCACGAAAGCGUGGGGAUCAAACAGGAUUAGAUACCCUGGUAGUCCACGCUGUAAACGAUGAUUACUCGAUGUUGGCGAUAUACAGUCAGCGUCUAAGGGAAACCAUUAAGUAAUCCACCUGGGGAGUACGGCCGCAAGGUUGAAACUCAAAGGAAUUGACGGGGGCCCGCACAAGCGGAGGAGCAUGUGGU